rnacentral:rRNA from 1 species
ACUAGAGUAGCACUCGCAUAUCAAUAAGCGGAGGAAAAGAAACUAACAUAGGAUUCCCUUAGUAACGGCGAGUGAAGCGGGAAGAGCUCAAAUUUGAAAUCUUCAAGGUUCUACCUUGACGAAUUGUAGUUUAAAGAAGUGUUUUCUGUUGGAGUUUUGGUAAAAGUUCUUUGGAAUAGGACAUCAUAGAGGGUGAGAAUCCCGUAUUUGACCAUUAUUCUUCCAGCUGUGUGAUACACUUUCAAAGAGUCGGAUUGUUUGGGAAUGCAGUCCAAAAUGGGUGGUAAAUUUCAUCCUAAAGCUAAAUAUUGGCGAGAGACCGAUAGCGAACAAGUACCGUGAGGGAAAGAUGAAAAGAACUUUGAAAAGAGAGUUAAACAGUACGUGAAAUUGUCAAAAGGGAAGCGUUUGACACCAGUGUUGUUUUCUCGAAAAUCAAUUAAAAAUGGCCUGGAUUUUGUGCUGUAUUGACUUUAUCAGCUUUCUGCACUUUUUUCUUGUCUUUUUUAAUGCACUUUUCGUUUAACAAGUCAACAUCAAUUUCUUUUGUUGUAAAAGAGUCAUUGGAAGGUGGCUUUCAUUUCGGUGAAAGUGUUUAUAGCCUUUGACUUCUGCAAUCGGAGAGAUUGAGGUCUGCAGCGUAGAUCCUUCGGGGUUAGAUACAUUUGUGCUAAGUUAUAGUUUUUCAUAGACAACAUGUUGACUAUGAUUAAUCAUGUAGCUUACUCGCUUAUGCUAUUUUACCUACGCUUAGGAUGUUGAAGAUGUAGCACAUCAU